GAUGAACGCUGGCGGCGUGCUUAACACAUGCAAGUCGAACGGGAAUUAUUUUAUUGAAACUUCGGUCGAUAUGAUUUAAUUCUAGUGGCGGACGGUGAGUAACGCGUGGGUAACCUGCCUUGUACAGGGGGAUAACAGUCAGAAAUGGCUGCUAAUACCGCAUAAGCGCACAGAGCUGCAUGGCUCCGUGUGAAAAACUACGGUGGUAUAAGAUGGACCCGCGUUGGAUUAGCUUGUUGGCAGGGUAACGGCCUACCAAGGCGACGAUCCAUAGCCGGCCUGAGAGGGUGAACGGCCACAUUGGGACUGAGACACGGCCCAGACUCCUACGGGAGGCAGCAGUGGGGAAUAUUGCACAAUGGGGGAAACCCUGAUGCAGCGACGCCGCGUGAAGGAAGAAGUAUCUCGGUAUGUAAACUUCUAUCAGCAGGGAAGAGAUUGACGGUACCUGACUAAGAAGCCCCGGCUAACUACGUG
rnacentral:rRNA from 1 species